GGAGGGGUGGCCGAGUGGUUUAAGGCACCGGUCUUGAAAACCGGCGUGCGGGAAACCGUACCGUGGGUUCGAAUCCCACCCCCUCCGCCA
rnacentral:tRNA from 2 species